AGCUCCAAUAGCGUAUAUUAAAGUUGUUGCGGUUAAAAAGCUCGUAGUCGAAUUUGUGUCCCGCGCCGCUGGUUCAUCGUUCGCGGUGUCUAACUGGCGUGUUCGCGGGACGUCCUGCCGGUGAGCUUUGCUCGCAAGGGCGGCUCAACUUGAAAUCCCAUCGCGGUGCUCUUCAUUGAGUGUCGAGGUGGGCCGGCACGUUUACUUUGAACAAAUUAGAGUGCUUAAAGCAGGCUAAAAUUUUGCCUGAAUAUUGUGUGCAUGGAAUAAUGAAAUAGGACCUCGGUUCUAUUUUGUUGGUUUUAAGAACCCCGAGGUAAUGAUUAAUAGGAACGGAUGGGGGCAUUCGUAUUGCGACGUUAGAGGUGAAAUUCUUGGAUCGUCGCAAGACGGACAGAAGCGAAAGCAUUUGCCAAAAACGCUUUCA
rnacentral:rRNA from 1 species